GAUUAAUCGUUGUUUUGCCUUGUUAGUCGACGCUUCAUUUCCCACCGGAGCUUGCUCCACCGGGAAAAGAGGAGUGGCGAACGGGUGAGUAACACGUGGGUAACCUGCCCAUCAGAAGGGGAUAACACUUGGAAACAGGUGCUAAUACCGUAUAACAAUCGAAACCGCAUGGUUUCGUUUUGAAAGGCGCUUUACGGUGCCGCUGAUGGAUGGACCCGCGGUGCAUUAGCUAGUUGGUGAGGUAACGGCUCACCAAGGCCACGAUGCAUAGCCGACCUGAGAGGGUGAUCGGCCACAUUGGGACUGAGACACGGCCCAAACUCCUACGGGAGGCAGCAGUAGGGAAUCUUCGGCAAUGGACGAAAGUCUGACCGAGCAACGCCGCGUGAGUGAAGAAGGUUUUCGGAUCGUAAAACUCUGUUGUUAGAGAAGAACAAGGGUGAGAGUAACUGUUCACCCCUUGACGGUAUCUAACCAGAAAGCCACGGCUAACUACGUGCCAGCAGCCGCGGUAAUACGUAGGUGGCAAGCGUUGUCCGGAUUUAUUGGGCGUAAAGCGAGCGCAGGCGGUUUCUUAAGUCUGAUGUGAAAGCCCCCGGCUCAACCGGGGAGGGUCAUUGGAAACUGGGAGACUUGAGUGCAGAAGAGGAGAGUGGAAUUCCAUGUGUAGCGGUGAAAUGCGUAGAUAUAUGGAGGAACACCAGUGGCGAAUGCGGCUCUCUGGUCUGUAACUGACGCUGAGGCUCGAAAGCGUGGGGAGCAAACAGGAUUAGAUACCUGGUAGUCCACGCCGUAAACGAUGAGUGCUAAGUGUUGGAGGGUUUCCGCCCUUCAGUGCUGCAGCUAACGCAUUAAGCACUCCGCCUGGGGAGUACGACCGCAAGGUUGAAACUCAAAGGAAUUGACGGGGGCCCGCACAAGCGGUGGAGCAUGUGGUUUAAUUCGAAGCAACGCGAAGAACCUUACCAGGUCUUGACAUCCUUUGACCACUCUAGAGAUAGAGCUUCCCCUUCGGGGGCAAAGUGACAGGUGGUGCAUGGUUGUCGUCAGCUCGUGUCGUGAGAUGUUGGGUUAAGUCCCGCAACGAGCGCAACCCUUAUUGUUAGUUGCCAUCAUUUAGUUGGGCACUCUAGCAAGACUGCCGGUGACAAACCGGAGGAAGGUGGGGAUGACGUCAAAUCAUCAUGCCCCUUAUGACCUGGGCUACACACGUGCUACAAUGGGAAGUACAACGAGUCGCGAAGUCGCGAGGCUAAGCUAAUCUCUUAAAGCUUCUCUCAGUUCGGAUUGUAGGCUGCAACUCGCCUACAUGAAGCCGGAAUCGCUAGUAAUCGCGGAUCAGCACGCCGCGGUGAAUACGUUCCCGGGCCUUGUACACACCGCCCGUCACACCACGAGAGUUUGUAACACCCGAAGUCGGUGAGGUAACCUUUUUGGAGCCAGCCGCCUAAGGUGGGAUAGAUGAUGGCGGAAGACGCAUGAGUAGAUAUGA
rnacentral:rRNA from 1 species